ACCCCCGGUAUUAUUGCUGUUAUGGGUUGCAAUCGAGCUUAGCGUUGUUCAUUUUUUUCCACAACACACCCGUAAAAAAUAAAAAACGCCCUGCUCAAGCCCGCAGUUUCCAUGACGCUCAGCGCACAAAACCUGCCCUAAAGUGCGGCGAAAGUGGCGUCCCGGCGCCCUUUUAGGGCAA
rnacentral:sRNA from 3 species